rnacentral:rRNA from 1 species
GUAGGUGGCAAGCGUUGUCCGGGAAUUAUUGGGCGUAAAGCGCGCGCAGGCGGUUCUUUAAGUCUGAUGUGAAAGCCCACGGGCUCAACCGUGGAGGGUCAUUGGAAACUGGAGAACUUGAGUACAGAAGAGGAAAGCGGAAUUCCACGUGUAGCGGUGAAAUGCGUAGAGAUGUGGAGGAACACCAGUGGCGAAGGCGGCUUUCUGGUCUGUAACUGACGCUGAGGCGCGAAAGCGUGGGGAGCAAACAGGAUUAGAUACCCUGGUAGUCCACGCCGUAAACGAUGAGUGCUAAGUGUUAGGGGGUUUCCGCCCCUUAGUGCUGCAGCUAACGCAUUUAGCACUCCGCCUGGGGAGUACGGCCGCAAAGGCUG